UUUCGACCCUAGUCAGCUGAUCACGGAUCGUCACGAGAGAGCUCCAGGCCGGAAGACGCUGCCGAUCCUCGCCUGGGUUUGAUAACUCUUUUGCGUAGAGCUUCGUCUCCGCCUCCUCUCUAUCUCCUGAAGUUCUCUUUCACUUGGAAAGGCGUCAGUGGCAAUAGAUGCCUAACAUACCACCAGACCGUGAAGCCAGACACUUUCACUUUCAGAGUCCGCUGCCGCACUCGUGAGAGGGUGGGACCUACACAGUGAGUGGCAGCACCUGCACUGCGUGAGCCGCAGCUGCUCAGGUCACGCCGGGCACCUGCCAGUACCCGCUUUCCAUCUUCUCAUCAGCAGAUACGUCGGGCUGGGCAUUUUCCAGUUACGGAAGGAGGUGACUGAGACCCAAACAGGGUCCGGAAACAGAUCUCCCAUGUCCAGUGUCCAGGAUAACGGUGGCCAUUUCCUUUCCUGCUGCCAGGGAUCAGUUUAGAAAGAACACGAGGCGGUCUCUACAUCGGAGCCCCAAGAGUAAGUGUUUCCGGCCAUUCAUACGCCCAACCUCUGCUCUCGGUAGUUGGAUUUCGUGUACUAUCAGGCCGAAAGGGUGACGGUGCCGCUAGGAUGAAGCUUGUGAGAUUUUUGAUGAAAUUGAGUCACGAAACUGUAACCAUUGAGUUAAAGAGUGGAACACAGAUCCAUGGAACAAUCACAGGUGUAGAUGUCAAUAUGAAUACACACCUUAAAGCAGUGACAAUGACCCAGAAGAACAGAGAACGUGUACAGCUGGAAACACUGAGUAUUCGAGGAAAGAACAUUCGGUAUUUUAUUCUGCCGGACAGCUUACCUCUGGAUACCCUUCUCGUGGAUGUGGAAUCAAAGGUGUAUUCUGAGAAAAGGGAAGCUGUUGCAGGAAGAGGCCUAGGCCGAGGGAGAGGAUGUGGCCUAGGCCGAGGCAGAGGAAGAGGGGGUCCUAGGCCAUGAUGUCACUCAAGACUACUAUUUCAAAGUAGCGGGGAAGGAAGACUAAUCCAUGACGGAGGAAGAGUAUGAGGCCAAGGCAGAGGAAUGUGAAGUCCUAAGCGAUAAUGUUGCUGGAGCUUACUGUUUCACAGGGGUGGAUGUUCAAGUUUUUUGUACAGUCUUUGUUUGUAGCAGUUUUUAAUAAACAUAAAUGUAACACAUUUGUCUGUUGACUA